ACCUAUUUGGAUCGACCUUGGAUGUAGUCCGGCGUAACGUGGGCGCAGCUACGCUAUGAUUGCACAAAGCGCACGCUGCUUAGCGCCACCACGCAAUCAUUGUGACUGGCGGUAUUUGGCUUGGUGUACACGAAAUGGCACGCAGGCUUUCUUUGGCGUUGUGAUAUCCCAACCACGAAGUUCGACGUUCAUUAUGCCUCCUUUGAUGUAUUGUGUUCGAUUGUCACAGUGAGAAGGCUUCGCUGGACCUAUACUGACAUUUUGUUUGUUCCCAGACAAAGGAAGACGGCCCCUGGAAUUAGAUGACGGAAUUUCUUGCCACAAUUGCCACAUAGCAAGCCCUUGCAUGCACACACCUGCACCACCUUUGGGUCUAAUGACACAAAGGUCAAGGCCAGCCUGAUGACCAUGCUUGCCAAGGGGAAGUAGUGUAAACAUUUAGUCUCUUUCCAUACUAGCAUAAGACAUGUAUUUUAAGAAAUUCAUCUAUUAUAUCGUGCAAUAAAACAGUUAAUUCAU